UUUUAUUUUUUGUCCUCUGGUAUUUCUCCAAAACCCAAACCCCUUCCCCCCACGAUAGAAAAUGUUGAAGAGCAGUGUCUUCUUCUCCUUCCCUAGUUGUUCCGCUCCAAAUCUUCCUUCGCUCUUCUUCCCCACCUCUGUCCCCUUUAGCUUCUCUACCCCCCACUUCCAUUGCCAAAUAAAACAACUCAAGGUAACGAAGCAGCAAUUCUUCUGCCGCGUGUCCUCCAGCUAUGAAGUUGGUGGAGGCUAUCCUGAUGAAGAACUUGAACGAACUUAUAAAACCCAGACCCAGCAACUUCAAGGCAGUCAGAACUUAGAUUCUUCUCAGUAUGAUGCUUUACUCAAAGGAGGAGACCAAGUCAUUUCUGUUCUUGAAGAAAUUAUUACCCUUUUGGAAGAUAUGAACAUGGAUGAGGCAUCUGAGGAGGUAGCAGUUGAGUUAGCUGCACAAGGAGUAAUUGGGAAAAGGGUUGACGAAAUGGAAUCAGGGUUCAUGAUGGCUCUAGAUUACAUGAUCCAAGUUGCUGAAAAGGACCAAGAUGAUAAGCGAAAGUCGCUGCUUGAGGUGAUUAAGGAGACCGUGCUGGCACAUCUCACAAAAAAAUGUCCCCCGCAUGUUCAAGUGAUUGGACUUCUCUGUAGAACACCCCUGAAAGAAAGCAGACAUGAGCUACUACGCCGAGUUGCUGCAGGUGGUGGUGCUUUCAAAAGUGAAAAUGGCACCAAAGUUCAUCUUCCUGGAGCAAAUCUAAACGAUAUAGCAAACCAGGCUGAUGAUCUACUAGAGACAAUGGAAACUCGGCCAGUUGUUCCAGAUCGAAAACUACUUGCAAGACUUGUUUUGAUCAGAGAGGAAGCUCGAAAUAUGAUGGGAGGUGGGAUACUCGAUGAAAGAAAUGACCGUGGUUUUAGUACACUUCCUGAAUCAGAGGUGAACUUCUUAACAAAGCUUGUAGCGCUGAAACCUGGGAAACCUGUCCAGGAAAUGAUAAAAAAUGUAAUGCUAGGGAAAGAUGAAGGUGCAGACUACUCUGACACUGAUGAAGAAGCUAAUGCCAGUAGAACGAGACCCCGGGGAAUUGCAGGAAGGGGCAGUGUUACAGGGAGAAAACCACUUCCUGUUCGCCCCGGCAUGUUUCUUGAGACUGUGACAAAGGUCUUGGGUGGUAUAUAUAAUGGAAAUGUCUCUGGCAUAACAGCACAGCAUUUAGAAUGGGUUCAUCAGAAAACACUUCAAGUUCUUCAGGAAAUUGCAUUCUAAUUCUUCGAGCUGCUUGUACCAGAAAUUGGAUUACAUCAUAAUCCGCAGUUUACAUCAAAGGAGAGAGAUGAUUCCAUAAGUAGAGGUUAUUUUUGGAGAGAAACGAAAAGCGUGUCUAACUGGAUGCACUUUUCCUCAAUGGUCAAAUCCAAUGGCUUUUUGAACGUUGGCUGUGCAACGGUAAAAAAAUUUAAAAGAGGGACAACGGUCAGUUCUUUUUACCUAUAAAUAUGCCUCAAAUUUUUUUUUUCAUUCACAUAUUAUUCUCUCAAUUCUUUCUAAUCUCUUAACUCUCUCAAUUUUCUCUCAAUUUUUUCAAGUUCUUGUUCUAAAAUUUUUGAUAUUCUCGUUUAAAAAUAUAUUUUUUAAUUAUUUUAUAUUUUGUUCAUUCGGAUUAAGUGUUCACGAAUGACAACCUCUCUAAUUCGUUUCAACGAUAAUCACAUUUUCCCUGCUCAAGUAAUAAUGGCAAAUGAUCGUGUUUUGGAGGCGUUUAUAAAUAAUUUGGCAAAGCCUUCGAUCAUCGAAAUUUGUGGUUACUUGCAAGAGGCAGGAUUUUUGCAUACGUCUCUUAUGCUCGAGGGUCGCAAACUUGAUCCUAAACUCAUCAGUGCAUUGGUGGAAAGAUGAAGGCUUGAGAUACACACUUUUCAUCUUUCAUGCGGCGAGUGUACAAUGACACCAGAGGACAUAAUGUUACAACUCGAUCUGUCGGUGGAUGAGCCAGUUGUCAUGGGAGCAACAAUUGUUCCUAGUAAAGAGGAUCUCUGCGCGACAUUAUUGGGAAAGGUUCCAAACAAGUUUGAUGGUGGUCGGAUAUCGAUGAAUUGGUUAGCAAAAAAUUUUGAAAAGCUUCUUCCGCACGCGACCAAUGUCGUCAAAGAACAAUAUGUCCAAGCAUUCAUCUUUCAGUUAAUCGGAGGCAUUUUAAUGCUCGAUAAAUCUCAAAAUUUCGUGCAUGUAAGGUGGCUACUACACCUAAUAGAGUUCAAAGAAUGCAGACAACUCAGUUGGGGGUCAGUUGUGUUGGCCACGUUAUAUCGAGAGUUAUGUCAGGCCACGGGACUAGAUAAUAUGCAAUUGGUGGUUGCUUGCUCCUACUACAGUCGUGGGCAUAAUGGCAGCUACCAUUUUUAGGUCCUCGAGUAAACGACCCAUAUAUGUUUCUGUUGGUGACAAGAUGGAACCAUGGGUUGAGUUACGUAGGACUACCCGAGGAGUUGGAAGAUAUUAGGUUGCUGUUAGAUCAACGCUUGGAAGUCGAUUUUAAAUUGAUGUCAUACGCCGACACCGAUAUUAUAUCUUGUAUCCCGCCAGAAGUGUUGGUCAAUCGAGAGAUGUGGGACACAAAUGUGACGUUGAUAGUGUAUGUAACGAUGGAAAUGCAUGAAUCGAACUGGGUGAUGCGACAAUUCGGGUGGAGGCAACAAAUUUCGUUGGCAUCGCGAGACUUGAAGGAGCUGCACAAGGUGGACAUGCAUGGGAAGAACGACGAUGAUUGACGCGAGGUUCACAAGGACUACAUUGAAGCUUGGGAUCAUAGGAUGAAAUUCUUACCUAUCCAUGAACCAUUUUUAUCAAUGAACACGGCUGCCUGUUUGGAGUACUUGUCAUGGUUCAGAGUCAUUGACAAGCCAUAUCUACUAUCGAUGGAGGGGAGAAGUAGGCAACUUCAUCAAAAAAGGCAAUGAUGAUCGCCCUAGCAGUAGCAUAGGGCCAGAUACGGUCGCAUGACGGGUUCAUAAUCGGCUCCGCUCAGAGAAACGCCGUUUAUGUCUAUGCAAUAUCCCUGUACAUAUUUCGGGGCAUCAACAUCCCCCGCAUCUACACCCCCAUGCCGACAUUGAUAUCGGCCCAAGUGUCAGGCUAAAUGUCGAUGCAUGCACCAUCACCGAUGACGACACCAAUAUAGACGUUAAUUCAACAGCUAAUAUCAGUGUCAAUGCCCGGGUCAAUGUCGACGUAUUUGAGUUUUAUGGCACCUUACAGUUGCAUGCAGAUAGUGACACAAACACUGCCCGCAUCAUUGUUUUAUCGGGGUGGGUCAUCAGCGCAACCGUCUGUCGGUGGAGUGGAGGAUACACAAUGAGAGGCUAAGACGACAUCGCACUCGAGUACGGAGGAAGGCGAUAGAGAAUAAGUCGAAAGCGAACACGAUGACAAAUGUAGAGACAGAGAUGAGCAAGAGGGUAGGAAUGAAGACAAUGAUGAUGAAGAUGAUGACAACGAUCAAAUUUAUAGGUCAACACUCCGUUUGUGCAUAGAAAUCUUCCUCAUGUUUGUCAUCGACUGCCCUACAGCACACAUUCUCCCCGACAACACAAUUGAUGUAUUUUUUUAUUACUUCUGCGAUGUAAAUAUAUGUAACAUAAAUAAAGAAACCAUAAAUUUUCAUUCCAACACUA